UGAAUACGAGAUGCUACGGCGUCGAAGCAGUCUAUGUCAUACUUCCAAGAAAAGCUUGCACUGUCAUAAACAAAUAAUGCCUGUACCAUAACCGACACAGGUGGGUAGGUAGAGUAUACUAAGGGGCGCGAGAUAACUCUCUCUAAGGAACUCGGCAAAAUGACUCCGUAACUUCGGGAGAAGGAGUGCCUUAUUUAUAAGGUUGCAAUAACAAGAUCCAAGCAACUGUUUACCAAAAACACAGGUCUCCGCUAAGUCGUAAGACGAUGUAUGGGGGCUGACGCCUGCCCAGUGCCAGAAGGUUAAAGAAGUUGGUUAGCAUCCGCGAAGCUGAUAACUGAAGCCCUGGUGAACGGCGGCCGUAACAAUAACGGUCCUAAGGUAGCGAAAUUCCUUGUCGGGUAAGUUCCGACCCACACGAAAGGCGUAAUGAUUUGGAUACUGUCUCGGAGAGGGGCUCGGUGAAAUAGACUUGUCUGUGAAGAUGCGGACUACCUGCACCAGGACAGAAAGACCCUAUGAAGCUUUACUGUAACCUGAAAUUGAAAUUGGACUUUACUUGCGCAGUAUAGGUGGGAGGCGUUGAGAAUAUUCUUGCGGGAUUAUUGGAGCCAUCAGUGAGAUACCACUCUUGUAAUGUUAGAUUUCUGACUUUGUAUCAUUAUCUGGUCAAAGAACAGUUUCAGGCGGGCAGUUUGACUGGGGCGGUCGCCUCCUAAACGGUAACGGAGGCGCACAAAGGUUUCCUCUGAACGGGUAGAAAUCGUAUCUAGAGUGUAAAGGCAUAAGGAAGCUUGACUGUGAGACCUACAAGUCGAGCAGGCACGAAAGUCGGUCUUAGUGAUCUGACGGUGCUGAGUGGAAAGGCCGUCACUCAACGGAUAAAAGUUACUCUAAGGAUAACAGGCUGAUCUCCCCCAAGAGUUCACAUCGACGGGGAGGUUUGGCACCUCGAUGUCGGCUCAUCGCAUCCUGGGGCGGUAGUACGUCCCAAGGGUUGGGCUGUUCGCCCAUGAAAGCGGUACGCGAGCUGGGUUCAGAACGUCGUGAGACAGUUCGGUCCAUAUCCGGUGUAGGCGUUAGAAUAUUGAGAGGAGCCUUCUUUAGUACGAGAGGACCGAGAAGGACAUACCUCUGGUGUACCAGUUAUCGUGCCAACGGUAAACGCUGGGUAGCUAUGUGUGGAGUGGAUAACCGCUGAAAGCAUCUAAGUGGGAAGCCCACCUCAAGAUAAG
rnacentral:rRNA from 1 species